CCUACGGGGGGCAGCAGUGAGGAAUAUUGGUCAAUGGACGAGAGUCUGAACCAGCCAAGUAGCGUGAAGGAUGACUGCCCUAUGGGUUGUAAACUUCUUUUAUAUGGGAAUAAAAUGUUCCACGUGUGGGAUUUUGUAUGUACCAUAUGAAUAAGGAUCGGCUAACUCCGUGCCAGCAGCCGCGGUAAUACGGAGGAUCCGAGCGUUAUCCGGAUUUAUUGGGUUUAAAGUGAGCGUAGGUGGAUUGUUAAGUCAGUUGUGAAAGUUUGCGGCUCAACCGUAAAAUUGCAGUUGAAACUGGCAGUCUUGAGUACAGUAGAGGUGGGCGGAAUUCGUGGUGUAGCGGUGAAAUGCUUAGAUAUCACGAAGAACUCCGAUUGCGAAGGCAGUUCACUGGACUGCAACUGACACUGAGGCUCGAAAGUGUGGGUAUCAAACAGGAUUAGAUACCCUUGUAGUC
rnacentral:rRNA from 1 species